rnacentral:rRNA from 1 species
ACACAGGUAGUCAAGAUGAGAAUUCUAAGGUGAGCGAGCGAACUCUCGUUAAGGAACUCGGCAAAAUGACCCCGUAACUUCGGGAGAAGGGGUGCUCUUUAGGGUUAACGCCCAGAAGAGCCGCAGUGAAUAGGCCCAAGCGACUGUUUAUCAAAAACACAGGUCUCUGCUAAACCGUAAGGUGAUGUAUAGGGGCUGACGCCUGCCCGGUGCUGGAAGGUUAAGAGGAGUGGUUAGCUUCUGCGAAGCUACGAAUCGAAGCCCCAGUAAACGGCGGCCGUAACUAUAACGGUCCUAAGGUAGCGAAAUUCCUUGUCGGGUAAGUUCCGACCCGCACGAAAGGCGUAACGAUUUGGGCACUGUCUCAACGAGAGACUCGGUGAAAUCAUAGUACCUGUGAAGAUGCAGGUUACCCGCGACAGGACGGAAAGACCCCGUGGAGCUUUACUGUAGCCUGAUAUUGAAAUUCGGCACAGCUUGUACAGGAUAGGUAGGAGCCUUUGAAACGUGAGCGCUAGCUUACGUGGAGGCGCUGGUGGGAUACUACCCUAGCUGUGUUGGCUUUCUAACCCGCACCACUUAUCGUGGUGGGAGACAGUGUCAGGCGGGCAGUUUGACUGGGGCGGUCGCCUCCUAAAAGGUAACGGAGGCGCUCAAAGGUUCCCUCAGAAUGGUUGGAAAUCAUUCAUAGAGUGUAAAGGCAUAAGGGAGCUUGACUGCGAGACCUACAAGUCGAGCAGGGUCGAAAGACGGACUUAGUGAUCCGGUGGUUCCGCAUGGAAGGGCCAUCGCUCAACGGAUAAAAGCUACCCCGGGGAUAACAGGCUUAUCUCCCCCAAGAGUUCACAUCGACGGGGAGGUUUGGCACCUCGAUGUCGGCUCAUCGCAUCCUGGGGCUGUAGUCGGUCCCAAGGGUUGGGCUGUUCGCCCAUUAAAGCGGUACGCGAGCUGGGUUCAGAACGUCGUGAGACAGUUCGGUCCCUAUCCGUCGUGGGCGUAGGAAAUUUGAGAGGAGCUGUCCUUAGUACGAGAGGACCGGGAUGGACAUACCUCUGGUGUACCAGUUGUCGUGCCAACGGCAUAGCUGGGUAGCUAUGUGUGGACGGGAUAAGUGCUGAAAGCAUCUAAGCAUGAAGCCCCCCUCAAGAUGAGAUUUCCCAACUUCGGUUAUAAGAUCCCUCAAAGAUGAUGAGGUUAAUAGGUUCGAGGUGGAAGCAUGGUGACAUGUGGAGCUGACGAAUACUAA